rnacentral:misc_RNA from 1 species
AAGUAAACCCGAUUGGAAUGAAAAGCCCGUAAACGAGGUACGAGUGCGGACUUGGAAUAAAAAGCGGGAAUACAG